UACGUAGGGUGCGAGCGUUGUCCGGAAUUACUGGGCGUAAAGAGCUCGUAGGUGGUUUGUCGCGUUGUCCGUGAAAACUCACAACUCAAUUGUGGGCGUGCGGGCGAUACGGGCAGACUGGAGUACUGCAGAGGAGACUGGAAUUCCUGGUGUAGCGGUGGAAUGCGCAGAUAUCAGGAGGAACACCGGUGGCGAAGGCGGCCUGCUGGGCUAUGGCUGACACUGAGGCGCGACAGCGUGGGGAGCAAACAGG
rnacentral:rRNA from 1 species